AGAACCAAAUUGUCUUUGAUAUAAUUUUCAAGACUCCAGAAGCUGCUUUAGGACCAGAACAACAUAUAAUUGGAUAUGCUGAUAAAAAGCUGAUACUUGAUAUGGACAUGCCAAAUCCAUCUAAGAAAAAUGCAGCUCUAAACAGAACAUUACUGGAGUUAACAGAAAAGCUAUUACAAUUUAAUCCAUCACAAAAAGAAAUGUCUACGAAACUAAUAGAAGAAUAGGUAUUCAUUACUUCCAACAUUUUUAAAUAAUUAUUUACAUUAACAUACAAUUAUUAUGAUCAGUUGUAAACUUCUGUAUUGCUAAAUAAUAUAAUAUUUGUUUUGGGUUAUUUCAAAAGUUGAAGUUACAUCAUUUCUCUUUUAAGAGAUUACUUUUUAUUAUAUUGACAAUCACAUAAUAGUUUUUCACGUUUUACUUCUUCGAUGUGCAAUAACUUUAAAAAAUUUACAAUGAUGCGUUUAUUUAGUUUGUGUAUGUAAAAAUGUACCUACAUUAAUUUUAAGGAAAAACGAUAAUUUUGAAUAACAAGUCAGUUUUCUACAAUUGUUGAGGUGUGCAUAUUUGAGCUUUUUUUUGUC